rnacentral:rRNA from 1 species
CACCGAAUGCUUGCAUUCACCGUAAGAAGUUGAGUGGCGGACGGGUGAGUAACACGUGGGUAACCUGCCUAAAAGAGGGGGAUAACACUUGGAAACAGGUGCUAAUACCGUAUAUCUCUAAGGAUCGCAUGAUUCUUAGAUGAAAGAUGGUUCUGCUAUCGCUUUUAGAUGGACCCGCGGCGUAUUAACUAGUUGGUGGGGUAACGGCCUACCAAGGUGAUGAUACGUAGCCGAACUGAGAGGUUGAUCGGCCACAUUGGGACUGAGACACGGCCCAAACUCCUACGGGAGGCAGCAGUAGGGAAUCUUCCACAAUGGACGCAAGUCUGAUGGAGCAACGCCGCGUGAGUGAAGAAGGUCUUCGGAUCGUAAAACUCUGUUGUUAGAGAAGAACACGAGUGAGAGUAACUGUUCAUUCGAUGACGGUAUCUAACCAGCAAGUCACGGCUAACUACGUGCCAGCAGCCGCGGUAAUACGUAGGUGGCAAGCGUUGUCCGGAUUUAUUGGGCGUAAAGGGAACGCAGGCGGUCUUUUAAGUCUGAUGUGAAAGCCUUCGGCUUAACCGGAGUAGUGCAUUGGAAACUGGAAGACUUGAGUGCAGAAGAGGAGAGUGGAACUCCAUGUGUAGCGGUGAAAUGCGUAGAUAUAUGGAAGAACACCCAGUGGCAAAAGCGG